CAUGGCUCAGGAUGAAUGCUGGCGGCGUGCCUAACACAUGCAAGUCGAGCGGCAGCGAGGGGUGCUUGCACCCUGUCGGCGAGCGGCGAACGGCUGAGUAACGCGUAGGAAUUUGCCCCAAAGUGAGGAAUAACUGCCCGAAAGGGUAGCUAAUGCCGCAUAUGGUCUUCGGAUUAAAGGAUUUAUCCGCUUUGGGAGAAGCCUGCGUUGGAUUAGGUAGUUGGUAGGGUAAUGGCCUACCAAGCCGACGAUCCAUAGCUGGUCUGAGAGGAUGAUCAGCCAGACUGGAACUGAGACACGGUCCAGACUCCUACGG
rnacentral:rRNA from 1 species